CCCUUAGAUGUUCUGGGCAGCACGCGCGCUACAAUGGUCUUCGCAAACGGAUGCAUUCUCGAAGGAGAAUGCCAAUCUUGGAAUCUAUGCCUUGGUCGGGACAGUUGCUUGCAAUUUUUCGACUCGAACCAGGAAUUCCUUGUAAUCGUGGUUCAUCACAUCACGAUGAAUACGUCCCUGCCCUUUGUACACACCGCCCGUCGCUCCUACCGAUCGAAGAGUUAGGUGAAUUGUUUUGAUCGAUAAGAUUUGACUAUGGUCAACUCUCGUUGUGAAAUUCUGUGAAUCUGACUGUUUAGAGGAAGGAAAAGUCGUAACA
rnacentral:rRNA from 1 species